GGGUGAGGAGAGUAUCCUAAGGCCAGCGAGAGAACUGUUGUUAAGGAACUCGGCAAAAUGACCCCGUAACUUAGGGAGAAGGGGUGCCACGUUAGGGUUAACGCCCGAGGUGGCCGCAGAGAAUAGGCCCAAGCGACUGUUUACCAAAAACACAGGUUUCUGCUAAGUCGCAAGACGAUGUAUAGGAGCUGACGCCUGCCCGGUGCUGGAAGGUUAAGGGGAUCUGUUAGGAUUUAUCCGAAGCAGUGAACUUAAGCCCCAGUAAACGGCGGCCGUAACUAUAACGGUCCUAAGGUAGCGAAAUUCCUUGUCGGGUAAGUUCCGACCCGCACGAAAGGCGUAACGAUUUGGGCACUGUCUCAACAACAGACUCGGUGAAAUUGUAAUCCCGGUGAAGAUGCCGGGUACCUGCGACAGGACGGAAAGACCCCAUGGAGCUUUACUGUAGCUUGACAUUGAAUUUUGGUGCUACAUGUACAGGAUAGGUGGGAGGCUAUGAAGUCGGGACGCCAGUCUCGGCGGAGCCAUCCUUGGGAUACCACCCUUGUAGUACUGAGAUUCUAACCAGAUACCUUGAAUCAGGUAUUGGGACACUGUCAGGUGGGCAGUUUGACUGGGGCGGUCGCCUCCCAAAGAGUAACGGAGGCGCUCAAAGGUUCUCUCAGCACGGUCGGAAAUCGUGCGUAGAGUGUAAAGGCAGAAGAGAGCUUGAUUGCAAGACAUACAGGUCGAGCAAGGACGAAAGUCGGACUUAGUGAUCCGGUGGUUCCGCAUGGAAGGGCCAUCGCUCAACGGAUAAAAGCUACCCUGGGGAUAACAGGCUUAUCUCCCCCAAGAGUCCACAUCGACGGGGAGGUUUGGCACCUCGAUGUCGGCUCAUCACAUCCUGGGGCUGUAGUAGGUCCCAAGGGUUGGGCUGUUCGCCCAUUAAAGUGGUACGCGAGCUGGGUUCAGAACGUCGUGAGACAGUUCGGUCCCUAUCCGUCGCAGGCGUAGGAAAUUUGAGGAGACCUGUCCUUAGUACGAGAGGACCGGGAUGGACGUACCUCUGGUGUACCAGUUGUUCUGCCAAGGGCAUGGCUGGGUAGCUAUGUACGGAAUGGAUAAGCGCUGAAAGCAUCUAAGCGCGAAGCCAACUUCAAGAUAAGAUUUCCCACCGUAAGGGUAAGAUCCCAGGAAGACUACCUGGUUGAUAGGUCAAAGGUGUAAGU
rnacentral:rRNA from 1 species